rnacentral:rRNA from 1 species
UACGUAGGGCGCAAGCGUUGUCCGGAAUUAUUGGGCGUAAAGAGCUCGUAGGCGGUUUGUCGCGUCUGCCGUGAAAACCCGAGGCUUAACCUCGUGGCUUGCGGUGGAUACGGGCAGACUAGAGGUAGGUAGGGGAGAAUGGAAUUCCGGGUGUAGCGGUGAAAUGCGCAGAUAUCGGGAGGAACACCGGUGGCGAAGGCGGUUCUCUGGGCCUUACCUGACGCUGAGGAGCGAAAGUGUGGGGAGCGAACAGG